AGCAGCCGCGGUAAUUCCAGCUCCAAUAGCGUAUAUUAAAGUUGUUGCAGUUAAAAAGCUCGUAGUUGAAUUUCGGGAUCAAUAUAACGGUCAUGCCGUUGGUAUGCACUGUUAUAAUUGGUUUCUCACCUUCUAAAGAACUGUAAUGCCAUUAAUUUGGUGUCAUGGGAAAUUAGAACUGUUACCUUGAAAAAAUUAGAGUGUUUAAAGCAGGCUCACGCUUGAAUACAUUAGCAUGGAAUAAUGAAAUAGGACGGAUUGAUUCUAUUUUGUUGGUUUCUAGGAUCGAUGUA
rnacentral:rRNA from 1 species